CGAUCGAACCAGAGGCCGUGGGCGAGAUUCCGGCCCCCCGCCCUGCUGCCGGCCGGCUUCGGAGCCUGGUGUGUGUGUGUGUCUGUCAGUAGGCACACUGAGCCACUGCUCUGAAAGGAAAAGCCUUUUGCCUGUGGUUGGGCACAUUCCACUACCUCUUCCAAAUAGCACCUCCACAGCCCCUAACUCUGCUCUCUUCAGUUGCCAGCAGGUGGAAAGCAAGUAGGGUGUAGAAACAGAGUGGUAUGUUAUUGUGCGAGCCUGGCUGUAUUGCUGGAGAAUGAGCAGCAGAUAAAGUUCAGAGUUAUUUACAGUCACCUCUGCAGCUCCCUCUCCCCUCUGUCAUUUGAGAACAUUACUGUGGUAACUCCAGCAGGGGCCACAGUACGAAAGCUGUGAAGUUGGUGCUGGGAGGAAGUAGGACAGGCAGAUUGAUGAUUCCCAGGGAACAGGAGCAAGUGUGCUGUGGACCAAGAGAGAUGCACCAAGGAGGCACAGGGUGAAUCCUGUUGGAGAGCUCCGGAAGCAGCUUCAAGGACAAGCACUGUCGCAGCUCCUGUCUUCCUGUGGCAGGUGUGAAGCCCGGGGCUCUGUUUAGGGGCCAGGAAGACACUAGGAGACUCCUUCUGCACUAGGAAUGGAAGGAAACGGGGCAAUUUUCUCAAAGAAAAGCGAAGGGAGCAGGAUGGGUGACACUUAAACCAUCUUUUCCUCUUGCUAUAAUAGGCUGCCCCCUCCCAGUUAAACAGAAGUAGUGGAGCCUCUGCCUCUAACAGCUUCCACCACUUUUAGAUCCUUUCCAGGCACAAGCAUAAACUUUUAUCACUCCCUCACACUAAGCUUGGGUGCCUGGACUUAGCUAAUACAAAAGCUACUUUCAGACCCAAACAGGCCCCUUCUUUCUUGCACUGGGCUAGCAGGGAAUGUGGUGGUCUCAGGUACAUGCACUACUCCAAUCUCUUUCCAACUGGGAAACUGCUAUAAAGAACAGGGAAGGCAACAAUGGUGCAAGUCUUCACUUACCUGGGUAUCCUUGAGCCAGCCAGAAGCAGUUAAGUGCUCUUCAUUUUGACAGAUCAGGCUAAGGAAGACACGGGGCCUGAAACUCAUGACAACAACCUGGCUUGGAGGGGUCUGAUUUGCUCUUGGAGGAGGGAAAGCAUUCUAUUUAGACUGAGCUUCUCAGGGCCUGUGUUCAACAACAACAGUGCAGCAGUCUGGGGGUGAAGGAGGUAAAGGAUGGCUAUAGAACCACACACAAGUACGGUGGCACAGAUCAGUACAAAUAGGGAGAAAUGGUGAGGUGAAAGGUCAGCGGAGAACAGACUGCUUCACUAGUUUAGAGAGGUUUGAGCUUUUUUUUUUUUUU